rnacentral:rRNA from 1 species
UACGUAGGGCGCAAGCGUUGUCCGGAAUUAUUGGGCGUAAAGAGCUCGUAGGCGGUUUGUCACGUCGGAUGUGAAAGCCCGGGGCUUAACCCCGGGUCUGCAUUCGAUACGGGCAGACUAGAGUGUGGUAGGGGAGACUGGAAUUCCUGGUGUAGCGGUGAAAUGCGCAGAUAUCAGGAGGAACACCGAUGGCGAAGGCAGGUCUCUGGGCCACUACUGACGCUGAGAAGCGAAAGCAUGGGGAGCGAACAGG